UUAAGCGACUAAGCGUACACGGUGGAUGCCCUGGCAGUCAGAGGCGAUGAAGGACGUGCUAAUCUGCGAAAAGCGUCGGUAAGGUGAUAUGAACCGUUAUAACCGGCGAUGUCCGAAUGGGGAAACCCAGUGCAAUUCGUUGCACUAUCGUUAACUGAAUACAUAGGUUAACGAGGCGAACCGGGGGAACUGAAACAUCUAAGUACCCCGAGGAAAAGAAAUCAACCGAGAUUCCCCCAGUAGCGGCGAGCGAACGGGGAGCAGCCCAGAGUCUGAAUCAGCUUGUGUGUUAGUGGAACGGUCUGGAAAGUCCGACGGUACAGGGUGAUAGUCCCGUACACCAAAAUGCACAGGCUGUGAACUCGAAGAGUAGGGCGGGACACGUGGUAUCCUGUCUGAAUAUGGGGGGACCAUCCUCCAAGGCUAAAUACUCCUGACUGACCGAUAGUGAACCAGUACCGUGAGGGAAAGGCGAAAAGAACCCCGGCGAGGGGAGUGAAAAAGAACCUGAAACCGUGUACGUACAAGCAGUGGGAGCACCUUCGGGUGUGACUGCGUACCUUUUGUAUAAUGGGUCAGCGACUUAUAUUCUGUAGCAAGGUUAACCGUAUAGGGGAGCCGCAGGGAAACCGAGUCUUAACUGGGCGUUAAGUUGCAGGGUAUAGACCCGAAACCCGGUGAUCUAGCCAUGGGCAGGUUGAAGGUUGGGUAACACUAACUGGAGGACCGAACCGACUAAUGUUGAAAAAUUAGCGGAUGACUUGUGGCUGGGGGUGAAAGGCCAAUCAAACCGGGAGAUAGCUGGUUCUCCCCGAAAGCUAUUUAGGUAGCGCCUCGUGAACUCAUCUUCGGGGGUAGAGCACUGUUUCGGCUAGGGGGUCAUCCCGACUUACCAACCCGAUGCAAACUACGAAUACCGAAGAAUGUUAUCACGGGAGACACACGGCGGGUGCUAACGUCCGUCGUGAAGAGGGAAACAACCCAGACCGCCAGCUAAGGUCCCAAAGUCAUGGUUAAGUGGGAAACGAUGUGGGAAGGCACAGACAGCCAGGAUGUUGGCUUAGAAGCAGCCAUCAUUUAAAGAAAGCGUAAUAGCUCACUGGUCGAGUCGGCCUGCGCGGAAGAUGUAACGGGGCUAAACCAUGCACCGAAGCUGCGGCAGCGACACUAUGUGUUGUUGGGUAGGGGAGCGUUCUGUAAGCCUGCGAAGGUGACCUGUGAGGGUUGCUGGAGGUAUCAGAAGUGCGAAUGCUGACAUAAGUAACGAUAAAGCGGGUGAAAAGCCCGCUCGCCGGAAGACCAAGGGUUCCUGUCCAACGUUAAUCGGGGCAGGGUGAGUCGACCCCUAAGGCGAGGCCGAAAGGCGUAGUCGAUGGGAAACAGGUUAAUAUUCCUGUACUUGGUGUUACUGCGAAGGGGGACGGAGAAGGCUAUGUUAGCCGGGCGACGGUUGUCCCGGUUUAAGCAUGUAGGCUGGUUGUCCAGGCAAAUCCGGAUAAUCAAGGCUGAGGUGUGAUGACGAGGCACUACGGUGCUGAAGUAACAAAUGCCCUGCUUCCAGGAAAAGCCUCUAAGCAUCAGGUAACAUCAAAUCGUACCCCAAACCGACACAGGUGGUCAGGUAGAGAAUACCAAGGCGCUUGAGAGAACUCGGGUGAAGGAACUAGGCAAAAUGGUGCCGUAACUUCGGGAGAAGGCACGCUGGUGUGUAGGUGAAGCCCCUGCGGGUGGAGCUGAGACCAGUCGAAGAUACCAGCUGGCUGCAACUGUUUAUUAAAAACACAGCACUGUGCAAACACGAAAGUGGACGUAUACGGUGUGACGCCUGCCCGGUGCCGGAAGGUUAAUUGAUGGGGUUAUCCGUAAGGAGAAGCUCUUGAUCGAAGCCCCGGUAAACGGCGGCCGUAACUAUAACGGUCCUAAGGUAGCGAAAUUCCUUGUCGGGUAAGUUCCGACCUGCACGAAUGGCGUAAUGAUGGCCAGGCUGUCUCCACCCGAGACUCAGUGAAAUUGAACUCGCUGUGAAGAUGCAGUGUACCCGCGGCAAGACGGAAAGACCCCGUGAACCUUUACUAUAGCUUGACACUGAACAUUGAGCCUUGAUGUGUAGGAUAGGUGGGAGGCUUUGAAGCGUGGACGCCAGUCUGCGUGGAGCCAACCUUGAAAUACCACCCUUUAAUGUUUGAUGUUCUAACGUUGGCCCCUUACCGGGGUUGCGGACAGUGUCUGGUGGGUAGUUUGACUGGGGCGGUCUCCUCCCAAAGCGUAACGGAGGAGCACGAAGGUUAGCUAAUCCUGGUCGGACAUCAGGAGGUUAGUGCAAUGGCAUAAGCUAGCUUGACUGCGAGCGUGACGGCGCGAGCAGGUGCGAAAGCAGGUCAUAGUGAUCCGGUGGUUCUGAAUGGAAGGGCCAUCGCUCAACGGAUAAAAGGUACUCCGGGGAUAACAGGCUGAUACCGCCCAAGAGUUCAUAUCGACGGCGGUGUUUGGCACCUCGAUGUCGGCUCAUCACAUCCUGGGGCUGAAGUAGGUCCCAAGGGUAUGGCUGUUCGCCAUUUAAAGUGGUACGCGAGCUGGGUUUAGAACGUCGUGAGACAGUUCGGUCCCUAUCUGCCGUGGGCGCUGGAGAAUUGAGGGGGGCUGCUCCUAGUACGAGAGGACCGGAGUGGACGCAUCACUGGUGUUCGGGUUGUCAUGCCAAUGGCACUGCCCGGUAGCUAAAUGCGGAAGAGAUAAGUGCUGAAAGCAUCUAAGCACGAAACUUGCCCCGAGAUGAGUUCUCCCUGAGACUUUAAGUCUCCUGAAGGAACGUUGAAGACGACGACGUUGAUAGGCCGGGUGUGUAAGCGCAGCGAUGCGUUGAGCUAACCGGUACUAAUGAACCGUGAGGCUUAACCUU
rnacentral:rRNA from 1 species